CAGAAAUGUUUGUCCCUUGUCAACAAAGUUUACUGGCCAUCAUCAACUAUGUGGUGAGACUUAUCAACCAGGCUGGCAGACAGUCAGAUGCCGAAACUGCUAUUCUGGGGGCUCAAAACUGCUUACUCUUCCUGUGGACCAGGUCACUUGAAGACGCUCAGUGUGGUGUUAUCCUGUUUCCUAAUGCAAGGCGGCAGCGAGCCCUAGAUUCCAAGCAGCCAUAUGACCUCAAGGGAGAACAGUCAACCUCAGCAAUAUCACUCGGGGAGGCAAAGCAGUCCAUCGGUCACACUGACAACUAGCUGUUAUGCCCUGCCUGCUCUGAUGUGUCUCCACCUUGUAAACAUACAAGCUUGGGGAGAACGGACGGGGUGAGCAACGGACACAUAUCAUCCUGUAAACUGAGGACAGGAUCCAGCGCGUGACUGAGAAACUCCACAUUUGCUGUACUCUUGAGCCACGCUGCGGGUAAGCCACAAUUUCUGCACUUCGUUUUUCUUGACGUCCAGCCACAAUGAGUGCUCAGAGUUCUAAGAGGGAUCUUAGGACCCUGAGAUCUUAGGGUGUUGAUGCACUCCGUUCCAUCAC
rnacentral:lncRNA from 1 species